ACUGCAAAAAAUGAUGGGCGUUCCUUUUUCUUCUUCUCUCAAUGACUGCAUUUGCUCUCCCCUUCUCUCUCUGCUCUCCUGCUCUCUGCACACGCCUGCCCACUUCUUACAUCUUUAUUUCUUCUGUUGAACUCCCAUCUUCUUCAUUUCUCUUCCUUUCUACCCUUGGGAUCCCUUCCCUGAUGCCCCUUCCCUCCCUUCUCUCUUCUGUCUUUUCUAAUUUCUCCUUUUCUAAUUUCUCCCCUCUGCUGUCUUCCUCUCCUCUACCCGAUCUUUUCCCCAUACUCUUCUCUCUCUUUUCUCUGCACCAUUAUUUCUCUUUAUCCUUCUCCUGCACUUCUGUGCUCUGCUGUUCCCUCCUCUCACUCCUCCUGUACCCAUUACUCCCCUAUUCCGAUUUCCGGGGCUUUUCCCACCGCCAGCCUGGGACAACACAGAGCUCCACAGUCCCCAGCAGCACCCCACGUCCCCCUCUGGGCUCCUGCUGUACCCCCCUAUUUCCUUUCUCAGGCCUCCCCUGGGUUCUCAGACUCCCACAGUCCCUGACAGGACCCCCAUAACCAUACCAGGACACCCAUAGCCCACCAACGAGGAACCCUGCAGCAAUCCACAUCUCCGGAUGGUGCUCCAGCUGUGCACCAAUGCGUUCAUUCAAGAGAGGAGAAUGGAUGAGCGUAAUGGGGCGCCUCUCCUCCUGACAUUGCCCACCGCCUGCGUGUUGG
rnacentral:lncRNA from 1 species